rnacentral:tRNA from 1 species
AGUGCGUGGCCGAAUAGUUACGCUGUCCGCUUUGUAAGCGGAUGAUUCUGGGUUCGAUUCCUAUCUGCUCUA